UAAUACGAAGGGGGCUAGCGUUGUUCGGAUUUACUGGGCGUAAAGCGUACGUAGGCGGACCGUUAAGUCGGAGGUGAAAUCCUGGGGCUCAACCCCAGAACUGCCUUCGAUACUGGCGGUCUCGAGUCCGGGAGAGGUGAGUGGAACUGCCAGUGUAGAGGUGAAAUUCGUAGAUAUUGGCAAGAACACCAGUGGCGAAGGCGGCUCACUGGCCCGGUACUGACGCUGAGGUACGAAAGCGUGGGGAGCAAACAGGAUUAGAUACCCUGGUAGUCCACGCUGUAAACGAUGGAAGCCAGCCGUCGGGCAGCAUGCUGUUCGGUGGCGCAGCUAACGCUUUGAGCUUCCCGCCUGGGGAGUACGGUCGCAAGAUUAAAACUUAAAGGAAUUGACGG
rnacentral:rRNA from 1 species